AACGAACGCUGGCGGCAUGCCUAACACAUGCAAGUCGAACGAGACCUUCGGGUCUAGUGGCGCACGGGUGCGUAACGCGUGGGAACCUGCCCUUAGGUUCGGAAUAACUCCCCGAAAGGGGUGCUAAUACCGGAUAAUGUCUUCGGACCAAAGAUUUAUCGCCUUUGGAUGGGCCCGCGUUGGAUUAGCUAGUUGGUAGGGUAAAAGCCUACCAAGGCGACGAUCCAUAGCUGGUCUGAGAGGAUGAUCAGCCACACUGGGACUGAGACACGGCCCAGACUCCUACGGGAGGCAGCAGUGGGGAAUAUUGGACAAUGGGCGAAAGCCCGAUCCAGCAAUGCCGCGUGAGUGAUGAAGGCCUUAGGGUUGUAAAGCUCUUUUACCCGGGAUGAUAAUGACAGUACCGGGAGAAUAAGCUCCGGCUAACUCCGU
rnacentral:rRNA from 1 species